AACGAACGCUGGCGGCAUGCCUAACACAUGCAAGUCGAACGAGACCUUCGGGUCUAGUGGCGCACGGGUGCGUAACGCGUGGGAACCUGCCCUUAGGUUCGGAAUAACUCCCCGAAAGGGGUGCUAAUACCGGUUAAUGUCUUCGGACCAAAGAUUUAUCGCCUUUGGAUGGGCCUGCGUUGGAUUAGCUAGUUGGUAGGGUAAAAGCCUACCAAGGCGACGAUCCAUAGCUGGUCUGAGAGGAUGAUCAGCCACACUGGGACUGAGACACGGCCCAGACUCCUACGGGAGGCAGCAGUGGGGAAUAUUGGACAAUGGGCGAAAGCCUGAUCCAGCAAUGCCGCGUGAGAGAUGAAGGCCUUAGGGUUGUAAAGCUCUUUUAGCCGGGAUGAUAAUGACAGUACCGGGAGAAUAAGCUCCGGCUAACUCCGUG
rnacentral:rRNA from 1 species